CCUACGGGGGGCAGCAGUGAGGAAUAUUGGUCAAUGGGCGAGAGCCUGAACCAGCCAAGUAGCGUGAGGGAAGACGGUCCUAUGGAUUAUAAACCUCUUUUGUCGGGGAGCAAAAGACGCCACGCGUGGGGUUCCGAGAGUACCCGAAGAAAAAGCAUCGGCUAACUCCGUGCCAGCAGCCGCGGUAAUACGGAGGAUGCGAGCGUUAUCCGGAUUUAUUGGGUUUAAAGGGUGCGCAGGCGGAAGGUCAAGUCAGCGGUAAAAUUGAGGGGCUCAACCUCGUCGAGCCGUUGAAACUGGGAUUCUUGAGUGAGUGAGAAGUAUGCGGAAUGCGUGGUGUAGCGGUGAAAUGCAUAGAUAUCACGCAGAACUCCGAUUGCGAAGGCAGCAUACCGGCGCUCAACUGACGCUCAGGCACGAAAGUGUGGGUAUCGAACAGGAUUAGAUACCCGGGUAGUC
rnacentral:rRNA from 1 species